rnacentral:rRNA from 1 species
UACGUAGGGGGCAAGCGUUGUCCGGAAUCAUUGGGCGUAAAGAGCGUGUAGGCGGUCCGGUAAGUCGGCUGUGAAAGUCCAGGGCUCAACCCUGGGAUGCCGGUCGAUACUGCCGGACUAGAGCUCGGAAGAGGCGAGUGGAAUUCCCGGUGUAGCGGUGAAAUGCGCAGAUAUCGGGAGGAACACCUAUGGCGAAGGCAGCUCGCUGGGACGUUACUGACGCUGAGACGCGAAAGCGUGGGGAGCAAACAGG